rnacentral:rRNA from 1 species
UACGUAGGGUGCGAGCGUUAAUCGGAAUUACUGGGCGUAAAGCGUGCGCAGGCGGUUCGCCAAGUCAGGUGUGAAAUCCCCGGGCUUAACCUGGGAAUUGCGCUUGAAACUAGCGGGCUUGAGUGUGGCAGAGGGGGGUGGAAUUCCACGUGUAGCAGUGAAAUGCGUAGAUAUCUGGAGGAACACCGGUGGCGAAGGCGACAUCCUGGACCGGUAUUGACGCUGAGGCGCGAAAGCCAGGGGAGCAAACGGG